rnacentral:rRNA from 1 species
UACGUAGGGGGCGAGCGUUGUCCGGAUUCAUUGGGCGUAAAGAGCUCGUAGGCGGCUUGGCAAGUCGGAUGUGAAAACUCCAGGCUCAACCUGGAGCCGCCAUUCGAUACUGCCAUGGCUAGAGUCCGGUAGGGGAGUGUGGAAUUCCCGGUGUAGCGGUGAAAUGCGCAGAUAUCAGGAAGAACACCCAUGGCGAAAGCAGCUCUCUGGGACGGUACUGACGCUGAGACGCGAAAGCGUGGGGAGCGAACAGG